GUCACUGGUAACUUCCGCACUCAAGGGGAGAUUACUCAAAAGGAGUGAGCACCAGGAGGAGAGAUCACACGUAGGCAAAUUAGAGUCUGCUUGUUACCUAUUCUGGAGCCAGACCACGGGGGUGCAAGUCUUGGACCUAUCACUUCUUGCCUGUGCUGUCUUAGCAAUUGGCCUGGCUUGAACAUUUUUUGGAACCAGAGCUUGAAAAACGAGAGUGAGUCAACACACAGAGUCAUUCCUCAGCUUUGAGGUCCUCAGAAAUCUGAAACCACAGACACUUUAUCACAAUCCAGUUCCAGAAUUUAGCCUUAAAACGAGAUGGUGUGUGAGCACCGCAGCUGGUUUCGCCACAUCUCUUAGAAUGGUGUCAGCGUCCUCCAAAAUGAACUGAGAAGUUCGCGGCCUGCUACCUGAUAUUUCUUAUCUCAAGUCUGAAGCAGACGUUACGAAAAGUGUGAAAAAUAAAAGGAAGAAGACUGCAUCUUGUUAGUGCUGGGGCAUGUUCUUACUUUUGUCUCCAAUACCAGUUUCAAAUUACUGUAUGAUUUUAGGUCCUCAGAAACCUGGAGCCAGUGACAAUUUACUGUGUCCAAGUUUAAGGGUUUUUAUUUUUAUUUUUUCCAGUACUGGGGAUUGAAUCCAAGGAGUGAGUUGCACCCCCUGGCUGCCCUUCACCCUAUGAUUUUCCUUUAGAGACAAUGUUUCACUGUGUUGUCCAGUCUGGCCUCCAACUCGAAGCAGUCCUCCUGCUUCAGCCUCCAGAGUAGCUGGGAUUACAGGUGUGUGCCACCGCACCCAGCUGAGGAUUUCUUCCUGAUUGGAACAAAACCAGGCAAUAUCGAGCUGGUCUGUGAACAGCCAACCCAGGAUGGUGAGUUGUAAAAUGCACAACCUGUAACAUGGCCCGCUCUGAGCACUGCAAAAGGCUGUGUGUACCCGACCCCUGGGCCCUGGGCUUCACCCCAUACCACUCAAACUUCAUCCGGGUUCAGAAAUGGGCCCGCCUCCUCUGCAUGGUCUCCAGCCCUGAUGAGGCACUCAUUCACUCCCGGACUAAGGAAUUAUGGGUGUCGCCUCCGCCUGGUGAGCUCACUUUCACUCUCUGCUUUUUUGUCAGCCUUCUACAAACCAGGAUGGUUUCAGCCGCAGUGCCAUAUGUGAGAGCACCCCAUGCCCUCACCUGUCCACAUUGGGCUGUGGGUUUCAUGGUGGCCCCAGAACCUUAGUGUACUUCACAAAUGGUAUGACUUAGGCCCUAGCAGAGGGCUUAGGGCCCUCCUCUUCCUUUGUAUUUUAACCUUUUUAUUUUCAAAUAAUUUAAAAACUAAGAAGUUGUAAGAAUUCCACAAAGAAGUGCGUCACAUGGUUAUGGUUGGUAGCUAGAGGUCCGCCUAAC